GGAAUCACCCUGAGGGGUUGGGGAAAGCUCACAAGGCCUUGCCUGAUCCCGACGAUCGUUCAAGGGAGCGGGAAGGUCUCAAAAGGAUGAAGGAGGCUGGCGUGCAGGGCAUGGCAGGGAAUCAGUGAUAUAGUUCUUGGGCGGUGAUCAUCAAAAGUGCAGUAGGCAAAGAGGCGGAUUGGGAAGAUGCGUUGGAUAUCCCCGAUCUUGGCAUUCAUAAUGUUAAUGGAUAUCGGGCCUUGGUGAUUUCUGAUGAGAUUCAUGAAAGAAUGGUGCUGCCUUUCCGAGGUCUGCGAUUGGGUCCCUAGUUGGGGAAAUCCUAGGGUUCAAGUGCAUAUAUUGGAAAGCUUUGAACAUUUGGAAUCAACUCCCUUUACAAUGUUGCAGAAGGGAUUGUUUCUCAUUCUAGCAUCGUCUAAGGGGGCGUUGGUGGAAAUCUUGUUGCCUAUAAAAUGGAAAGUUCAUGAUAUGUAUUUGGUAAUUAGCAAAUGGGAAUCGGGGAAGCCAAUGAAGAUGAAGGCGGCCUCUAGUGUACCAAUAUGGGAUUGUUUGCCAGAUAUGCAUAUUUUGGCAGGUAUUGAAAAGCUGAUUGGCGGCCACUGGGUGGCUGAAGACAAUUUAACUAAAUAAUUUGCAAGGAAUCGAUUUGCUCGAAUAUGAACCUUUGUUCCUUUGAAUUUUUCUCUUGUCAAUUCUAUGUGCAUAGUAGAUGGUGAUUGUGUUCUUGAGCAAUUGGAGGAAUACGAGGCAAGAAUUAGGUUCUGUAUUAGAUGUGGGAUUUCUUCACAUUGUGAAGGGGCUUGUCCUCAGGUACAGGCAGCUUCCCCCUCUCAUUGCUUCCUUUAAUCCUCGAAAGUACUUGCUCUAGUAGUUCAUCCACUAAUUGACAAGUGGACCCAAGUCAAGGUGGUGAGACGUAAAUCGAAAUCUGGUUGGUCUCAGAUUAAAGGAAGCAAUCAGAGGGGGAAUAUGUUGUCAGUGCUUGGUAAUAAAAAUCAAGAUGCGCCACAAACUGAUCUUGAUAGGGAACAACCAGAUCUCUGGAGAGAAAAGGAGGAAUAAAAGGGGUGUGGAGAUGGGUGGAAUAUCAUCUAUGGCAUAAGACUUUGAGGGAAAAUCAGAUGUGGGUUUGAAUCCUAAUGGUGGGGAAUUGGAGAUGGAGAUUUUCUAUGGUGAGGAGCAGACUGGGUCAGAUAAGAACAUAGAGGAUCGAACACUAAGUUCAAACAUGGUUGUACAUGUUGUGCAAGAUAAGAGUUCCAAAAGUAAGAAUUCUAAAGCCAGCAGGAAGAAACCUCUUGCUAACAAGGAGUUGAGUAUGUUGAAGAAGAAAGGAAAUACUAAGAAUCAUAAUUAUGUUCUGAAAGAAAAUUAAGAGGUGAAUGUUUUGCCUGGGGGACAAAAUAUGAAAUUCAACCUAGCAGCAGGAGAGGAGAAUAUCGUAGGGGUAUCUAACCACUAGGGGACAAACUUGUAAUCUCUAAUCAAGGAUGAAAGUGGUAUUAUGGAACGCCAGGGGAUUGUCCAGUAAGGCUGCACAAACACACUGACUGAAUCUGGUUAGUCAUGAGAAUCUUAAUAUUAUUUUCUUCUUUGAUUUGAUGCUAACUGAAGAGUGUCCGUUAAGCUUUUUUAGGCGAUUUCAAAAUUUUGAUAUGGAAUCUCAUACUGAAGUAGAAGGUAAAUGGGCUAGGAUUAGUUGUGCCUAGAAGAAAAAUGAGUUUAAAUUUCUGAGUUGUCGGUUUAAUUUGUGUUGAAACGAUUGUAUCUGCAUGGAAAAGACAAGAGGGAAGAGGAUUGAUGUCAUUGGGGUCUAUUUGCAUACUGAUUUUAGGGACAGACAUGGCCAGUGAAUUAUGUUGGCGGCUAUGUUGACGGGCAGGCAUAGUCCAAUGCUGAUCUUGAGGGAUUUUAAUUCAGUCAGAAAAUCUUCUAAGAAGUUGGUAGGGCCUCGGCAUUUUUGGCUUGCAAGGCCUUCAAUUCUUUCAUCCAAUUUGUUGGUCUAGAAUAAUUAAUGGAUGGGAAAGAUUCUUUGCUUGGUUGAAUCAUCGUAAGUCCGCAGAGUAGUUAUGAGUAAAAUCAACUGAUGCUUCUACAAUAAAACUUGAGCUGAGAUGUUUGAUGAAUCACUGAAGUUAAGGUGAGAUUUUAGAGCCUCUUUUGAUCAUGCAGCGUUGGUGGAUUUUUCUGUUUCACAGAUUCAACGUGAGUUUGGCAAGAAGGUGUUCAAAUAUUCCUUUCACUGGGACAAACACCUAAGUUGCCAAAAUAUUAUAUCUAGAUUAUGGCAGGUUGAAGACAAGGGCUGCCCUAUGAUGCAGCCAUGUGCGAAGCUGGACAAAAUAAGAAAGGGUCUAUGCCGCUGGAGAAGGAAUGCUUUAGAAAAAGUAGAUCUAAAAGUUGAUCGUUUGUAGAAAGCGCUGGAUGAUAUUCAUUUUUGUGAUGAUAGGGGUUCAAACCACUGGUUUGAGAAGGAAGAAAAAAUCAGAUCUGAGCUGAAUAAGAUCCUGGAAGAAAAAGAGAUCUAUUGGAAGCAGAGGUCCGACGUGUAGUGGUUAAGGACAACUGGACAAGAGAUGGAAAUAAUAGAUUUUUCCUUUCUAUGGUGAAAAGGAUGGUUCAGAAGAGAAGGCUUGCUGAAACUUCAAUUGAUGAGGGCUCAUUUAAUGACCCCAUGCAAAUUCAAAUCAGUUGAAAAAAUCAUUUAAAAAAAAAAAUUCUCUACAGAUGACUCAAAAGGAUCCCUGCUGAAGAUCUAUGGCCUGGCAUGUUAGUUUCUGAUCAGGACAAUGAGUAUCUGCUUAAACCAGUGACAGAAGAGGAGAUCAGACAGGCUGUAAUAGGCUAGAAGGUGGAUAACUUUUUGGGGCAUGAAGGCUUUCCCGAUGGAUUUUUUCAAAAACAAUGGUAAAUAGUAGAAGAUUUGGUGAGCAGAACUAUCAUAGAGGGGCCAGUUUGGAAACUGCUUAUUUGAAUUGGAUAUUUCCACUAAUAGUUUAGGAUAAUUUUUGUAUAGUCUUGAAAUCUAAUAGUGUAGCAUGGUAGUAAUCGCUGCAGAAAUUUGCAACGGGCCAUAAUCUGCCUGCUCACAUCAGGGUUGUCUGUAGAAGUGGUAUCCUUGCUCUCUGAACAAGAGCGGUGGUGAACUGAGUGUCUGUGCUGCUCGUUUGUUAUUUUUUUUAGUCAUUCAUUCUUUCAACUUUAAUGGAAUAGGGUGAUCCUACAACCCGUUUUUCCUUAAAAAAAAUAAAUCUUUGGCUAUAAAUGUGGCCAGCUGAUUUAAGUUAUAUACACACACACAGAUGCAUGCACACACAUUCUCUCUAUAGACUUAAAACGAUAUUUUUUAGGAUUCACUAGAAAAAUGAAAAGAGAAAGAGAAAAGUAGGUGAGCGGAAAAAAGAUUGAUAAAAACUCAACCCAAAAGUGGGGAUGUUUAUGUUUUCUGAUCGCAAUAAUCCACCAUAGAAAUUAUUAAAAAAAGAAGAAAGUUAAACCGUAGGGAACAAGAGUAACACAUUAAUACAAGACAUACGUGAUUUGACAAUAUGCUUACACCCAUGGGCAAAGGAGGAGCACGAUUCUACUAUUAAUCAAGUCAAAUAGAGGCUACAACAAGGCAAUACAGUAAAAUCCCUCAAGACCCAAAUGGGCAAUGCCCUGGAGGGAAUAGCAAGAAAGAGGGAACUGAAGAGAAUGAGAUAAUACAUUUCUCUCUCUCAAAAGGGAAAAAUAUAAGCUAAUACCUCAAGAAAUAGCCUCUAAAUCAAAGAUGGAGCCUUUGUCGUAAAUGGCGAGCCAAAAUGCUUCUUUCUGCUUUUCUUUCUCACUUUUUUCCCAAGAAAUAAACCCCCAGACCCUAAUUUGUAAAAGGAAGAGUGCCUUUAUGGUUCCCUUUCUUUUCAUAACUCACAUCAUUAGACUUAUUUCAUUAAAGACUCAAAUGUGGAAAAUAUUUCUCUUAUGUGGGUUCAAGGUACACCUAACAAAUCUCUUCGAAUAAAAUCGUACCUGACAUCAAUAUGUUUUGUCAUCUCAUGAUACAUCUAAUCUUUGGUCAAGUGAAUGACACUUUGACUAUCGUAAUAAAUAAUCAAUUUUUCUUGACUAAUACAAAGUUUAAGAUAACAUGCCCCUCAACCAAAUACAUUUUUUAAUUGCCUCAAUGAUUGCUAUAUAUUUGGCCUUUGUGUAGAUAAUACAAUAGUAGACUAUAAAGUAGUUUCCCAACUGAUGGCACAACUUUCAAGAGAGAAAAUCAAGCCAAUAAAUGAUCUCCUCCUAUCAAGGCUACUUGCAUAAUCUGAAAUCAACAUAUCCAACCAAGCUAUCACUGUUCAUACCAAAGUCUCUAAUGUAUCAUCCUCCUCUAUCUGUUGCAGGUCGAGGGUUCCUUCUCCUUCCCCUUUUUCAAACCCCGAUUCGUAUUUUUCAUAUAGAAAUUUCUGAUCAACGAUAGAACAAGAUCCAUUUUGCAUCAUAUCUAACUGAUUCCUUGGUUCGGACCGAAGAAGCAAUGUCACUCGAUCAUUAUCAAACUGACUGCAUUCUGUCCUGAAAUGACCUGACCCAAUAGGGAAAUCCCAAUUUAUUGGGCCUUUCGAUAAAAUCAAAUAGAUUGCCAUGAGGGCGCCAUAGUCUAGGAGCCCAAAGAAUCUACUCCACUGCUUGCCUAUGGCCUUUUCAGGAGAUGAUCUAUCUACUAACAACAUUAAUUGCAUGCGAAAUGUCAAGUCUAGUACAAACCAUCACAUAAUAAUGCUGAGUCAGGCAGGCCAUAACAACACUAGUUGUAUCCUUCUUCAAGCUGUAGCUGUAAGAUCUUCUUUUCCAGGCUCCGAGUCUACUUUUGCUUUUUCUGUUUUUCUUUGGUAGUUAAAUAUACUGGAAGAAGGACUUGUAUAAACCAAGUGAUUUGACAGUCCUUUUGGCAAAGGUUGAAGAAUCUGAGGUAUAACCUUCUACAUAGUUGACUAUUUGCCUUUUCUUUAACUUAUACAUGAGAUAUUUACUCCUUUUCCCAAAUUCAAUUGGUCAAUGCGUUUGCAGUCGUUUUUUGCUUUAUCUUAUUCUGUUUUAUUUUCUCUAUUAUAGGUUCUUCCAUCUUUUGCAGGUGAAAUACAAAGGAGUGAAUGCCUCAGAUCUCUGAGGGAUAUUUCCCUUGCACUUGCUGAGAUGCCUGCACGUGGUGAUCUAACAGGAAGUAGGAGAUUCUUGAACUCUUGAAAUCAAUCUGGCAAAUUCUAGGAAUCACAAGGACUAUCCAUGGUAUAUGCUAUGCUUGGGUCUUAUUUCAGCAGGUGGUGAUGGUUUGCUUGAGAGCUUGACAGUACGUGCACAGCUGGUCAUUAAACUACAUGGCCUUGAUGUUAGUUUCUUUUGUCACAACAUAGUAGUGCAGAGUUGCCGUCCAUUGAUUGACACUUCGAAGUUUACACCAUUAUCACAGAUAUCUUGUUUGUUCCAAAGAAAAGGUGAUGUUGAUGGUAAAAAAAUAUGGAAAAAAGCAUGAUUUUUUCACCAAAACAAAUUUAACGUGUUUUUUCCCAUGUUUUUUGUUUUUCUUUUUUUUGACGUUAAUAUCAUGGAUUACACUUUAAACUUAAACUAAAUUAUUUAUCAUGAUUAAAACAUUUUUUUUAUCAUAAUAUUCUAGUUGUUUUUUUAUGUCUUGUAGAAGCUUUUUUCUUUUUAAAAAAAUUAUUUACUCGAUAUUUCCCAAAAAGAACAACACUGCCACAGAGAAAAACCUCUGCUGUUAUUACCCCAAGAACAAUACUCGUGACAAUGGUUUACACCUUUUGAUGUGAUAAGGUGAGUCAGCCGCAAAGAGUGGUAUGUGCUAAGGUUUGGAAACAAGCUGGAAAGCCCAAGCUAUAGGUGUUGUAGCUUGGCUGAUUGUGUUAGCUGUUUAAAGCUUGUUUUUUAUUAUCUUGAGGUGAAAAUGAGUUCCCACCGAAGGUGGGAUACAAAGUACAUUUGAAAACUUACGGCUAGAACUGUAGGUCUAUUUGAUGGAAUUAUUAUUCUUAAUUUGUAUUACUCAAUAAACUUGUUAAUAAAGAUGCAUUCCCAGUGGGCAACAUUGCAAUCCCUCAGAACGCAGCAUCCCGCCCAUCAAUAUAUCUCCAAAACAUAGACAUAAAGCAUACUUUCGUUUCUUUUGUUGGUUUUAGACUUAUUGAAAAUAUCUGAAAGUGAGGUUGAUUUUUGGAUUACCCAUCUCAACUACGAAUGGGCUAUCACGCGUCACUUUACAUCCUCCAUCCAGCGGUGAAUCCAAUUGCCGUAUUGGGCACUAUAGCGGUGACAGUUGUUUGGAACCUCCAGCGGUGUUUGACGUCGCCGGCAUAGACCUAUGGCGGUGACAGCUGUUAGGUACCUCUAGCAGUGGUUUCCAUCGCUGGCAUAGAUCAACAGCGGUGACAGCUGUUGGAGACCUCCAGCGGUGCUAGGGAUCGCUGGCAUAGAUCUAUAGCGGUGAGAGCUGUUGGGGACCUCCAGCGGUGCUAGCAAUCGCUGGCAUAUAUCUAUGGCGGUGACAGCAGUUGGGCACCUGGCUGUGGUAAUCAUCGCUGGCAUAGACCUAUGGCGGUGAUAGCUGGUAUCUCUAGCAGUGGUUAUUCGUAGGCAUAGAUCUAUAGCGGUGAGACUUGUUGGGGAUCUCCAGCGGUGUUUGCGAUCGCUGCCAUAGAGCGAUAGUGGUGACAGCAGUUCGGUACCUAUAGCGGUGGUUGCCAUGGCCGGCAUAGAGCUAUAGCGGUGACAGCAACCUCCAGCGGUGUUUGACAUCGCCGGCAUAGACCUAUGGCGGUGACAGCUGUUGGGUACCUCUAGCAGUGGUUUCAAUCGCCGGCAUAGAGAGAGCUGUUGCGGAUCUCCAGCGUUGCUUGCGAUUGCUGGCAUAGAGCUAUGGCGGUGACAGCAGUUGAGUACCUGUAGCGGUUGUUACGAUCGCCGGUAUAGAGCUAUAGCGGUGACAACUGUUUGGAACCUCCCAUGGCGGUGACAGUUGUUGGUACCUCUAACAAUGGUUUGAAUCGCCGGCAUAGGUGACCUCCAGCGGUGCUCACGAUCGCUGGCAUAGAGGUAUGGUGGUGGCGCUGUUGGUACUUGUAGCGGUGGUCAUCAUCGCCGGCAUAGAACUAUGGCGGUGACAGCUGUUGGGUACCUGUAGCCGUGGUUUCCAUCGCCCGCAUAGAACUGUAGCGGUGACAGCUGUUUGGAACCUCCAGCGGUGGUUGUAAUCGCUGGCAUAGAGCUAUGGCGGUGACAGCUGUUGGGUACCUCUAGCAGUGGUUUCAAUCGCGGGGAUAGAUCGGCGGUGAGAGCUGUUGGGGACAUCCAGCGGUGCUUCCGAUCGCUGGCAGAAUGCAUUGGGCACUUGGUGGACAUUGAGGACAACUCUGGGUGCAUUUACCUUUUGGCCAUUGAUGGAGAUUGGUAGCAACACCUACGCAGCAACAUUAAACAUGGCACAA